rnacentral:rRNA from 1 species
GACGAACGCUGGCGGCGUGCCUAAUACAUGCAAGUCGAACGCAGUGGGGACGGGUGAGUAACACGUGGGUAACCUCCCAUCAGAGGGGAUAACACUUGGAAACAGGUGCUAAACCGAUACUGAUGGAUGGACCCGCGGUGCAUUAGCUUUGUGGUGAGGUACAGGCUCACCAAGGCCACGAUGCAUAGCCGACCUGGUGUGGGGAUCGGCCCAACUGGGACUGAGAGACGGCCCAGACGCUUACGGUAGGCAGCAGUAGGGAAUCUUCGGCAAUGGACGAAAGUCUGACCGAGCAACGCCGCGGGAGUGAAGAAGGUUUUCGGAUCGUAAAACUCUGUUGUUAGAGAAGCGGUAUCUAACCAGAAAGCCACGGCUAACUACGUGCCAGCAGCCGCGGUAAUUC